UCCAGAGAUGGAUAGGUGCCUUCGGGAACUGUGAGACAGGUGCUGCAUGGCUGUCGUCAGCUCGUGUUGUGAAAUGUUGGGUUAAGUCCCGCAACGAGCGCAACCCUUAUCCUUUGUUGCCAGCGGUUCGGCCGGGAACUCAAAGGAGACUGCCAGUGAUAAACUGGAGGAAGGUGGGGAUGACGUCAAGUCAUCAUGGCCCUUACGACCAGGGCUACACACGUGCUACAAUGGCAUAUACAAAGAGAAGCGACCUCGCGAGAGCAAGCGGACCUCAUAAAGUAUGUCGUAGUCCGGAUUGGAGUCUGCAACUCGACUCCAUGAAGUCGGAAUCGCUAGUAAUCGUAGAUCAGAAUGCUACGGUGAAUACGUUCCCGGGCCUUGUACACACCGCCCGUCACACCAUGGGAGUGGGUUGCAAAAGAAGUAGGUAGCUUAACCUUCGGGAGGGCGCUUACCACUUUGUGAUUCAUGACUGGGGUGAAGUCGUAACAAGGUAACCGUAGGGGAACCUGCGGUUGGAUCACCUCCUUA
rnacentral:rRNA from 2 species